rfam:Tatumella morbirosei strain LMG 23360 Contig3, whole genome shotgun sequence.
AAUGAUUCGUUUUAUCCGCCUAUCAGGACUACUCCUUCUCGCAUUUAAUGUGCGCGGUAGUUUUGUGGGCGGAAUCAAAAAAUGAUUCGGGCCUGAAAACAGAAAAACCCGCGCCGCAGCGCGGGUUUUUUU